CGCGUGGCCCGGAGGACUACCGGGAGGUCUACGGCCACCUCCUGCGCCAGGCCGCCGAGCCGGUGAUCCUGCACUGGCUGGGCCCGAUGUUCGACCCGGCCCUGGAGGGCUACUGGGGUUCGUCCGACCUCGACGCGGCGACCGGCACCUUCCUGGAGGUCAUCGCCGCCCACCCCGACAAGGUCGACGGCAUCAAGGUCUCCCUCCUGGACGCCCAGCGCGAGAUCGACCUGCGCCGCAGGCUCCCGCAGGGCGUGCGCUGCUACACCGGCGACGACUUCAACUACCCCGAGCUGAUCGCCGGUGACGAGCAGGGCUUCAGCCACGCCCUGCUCGGCAUCUUCGAUCCACUGGGCCCGCUGGCCGCCGAGGCGGUCCGCGUCCUCGACACCGGGAACACGGACGGUUUCCGCGCCCUCCUCGACCCCACCGUCGAACUCUCCCGCCACCUCUUCCAGGCCCCCACCCGCUUCUACAAGACGGGCGUGGUCUUCCUGGCCUGGCUGGCCGGUCACCAGUCCCACUUCACGAUGGUCGGCGGCCUCCAGUCGGCCCGCUCCCUGCCCCACCUCGCCCGCGCCUACGAACUCGCCGACGGACUGGGCCUCUUCCCGGACCCCGAACUGGCCGAGAAGCGCGUGCGGAACCUGCUGAGCCUGUACGGAGUGAACCAGUGAGCGACACGGCGCCCGACCUGACGCGCUUCAGCAUCAACCAGAUGACGGUCAAGCAGCUCCCGCUGCCCGAGCUGACCGCCGUCUGCCGCGAACUCGGCGUCGGCAACGUCGGCCUGUGGCGCGAACCCGUCCAGGCGUACGGCGUCGAGGCCGCAGCGAAGCUGGUGCGCGACGCGGGCCUGACCGUCACCACCCUGUGCCGCGGCGGCUUCCUCACGGCCGUCGACGCGGACGAGCGGGCAAGGGCCCUGGCCGACAACCGCCGCGCCGUCGACGAGGCCGCCACCCUCGGCACCGACACCCUGGUCCUGGUCUCGGGCGGCCUGCCGCCCGGCGACAGGGACCUGCGCGCCGCCCGGGAACGCAUCGCGGACGCGCUGGCCGAACUCGGCCCGUACGCCGAGCGGCACGGCGUACGGCUCGCCAUCGAACCGCUCCACCCCAUGUACGCCUCCGACCGCUGCGUGGUCUCCACCCUCACCCAGGCGCUGGACCUCGCCGAACGCUUCCCGGCCCACCAGGUCGGCGUCACCGUCGACACGUACCACAUCUGGUGGGACGACCGGGCGCCCGAGCAGAUCGCCCGGGCCGGCGCGGGCGGCCGCAUCCACACCUUCCAGCUGGCCGACUGGACCACUCCGCUGCCCGAGGGCGUUCUCAACGGCCGCGGUCAGAUCGGGGACGGCGCGAUCGACAUGCGGGAGUGGCAGGGGUACGUGGAGGCGGCCGGAUACACCGGCGCCAUCGAGGUCGAGCUGUUCAACGAGGGCCUGUGGGCCCGGGACGGGCGGGAGGUGCUGGCGGAGACGGCACAGCGGUUCGCCGCGCACGUCGACCUCGCGGGCACCGGAGAAUAGAUACCGGCGAUCCGUGCAACCGUUCCGGGGCCGAGCGGGUCGUACUUGUCAUCAGGACCCUGACGGGGGGCCGGGGGGCCAGGGGUUCUGAAGGGGGGAAACCCGAGGGGGCCCGGUCGCCGACCGGGCCCCCUCGAAGUUCUCGGGCCGUACCCUUCCGCCCGCCUCAGAAGAAGACCCCGCACCGCAGCAGCACGUUCGCGUACGGCCGGGCCUCCCCGGUCCGCACCACCAGCCGUGCGCCGGCCGACAGCUCCUUCAGCCGGGCGUGCGGGACGAGUUCGAGGCCGGGGAAGUGCCCGUCGAGCAGGGCGGCCGCCUCCGCGUUGGCGUCCCGGACCUCCGCCGCCGCCGUCGCCCCCUCGACCACCAGCUCGUCGAGCAGCCCGUCCAGGACCUCGGCGAAGGAGGGCACCCCGGAGCGGAAGGCCAGGUCCACGACGCGGGGACCGGACGGCACCGGCAUGCCCACGUCGCACACCAGGACGCCGUCGCCGUGGCCGAGUUCGGCGAGGGCACCCGCGAGAUGCCGAUUGAGUAUCCCCGCCUUCUUCACAGGGCCUCGACCUCCGCCGCCGUCGGGUACGACGCCUGCGCGCCCGCCCUGGUCACGGCCGCCGCGCCCACCCGCGCCGCGUACGCCGCCGCGUCCGCGAGCGACUCGCCGGUACCGAGCCGCCAGGCCAGCGCCGCGGUGAACGCGUCGCCCGCGCCCGUCGUGUCCACGGCGUCCACCUUCACCGACGGCACCCGGGACACCUCCGCCCCCGACGCCACCAGCGCCCCCUCCGCGCCCAGGGUCACCACGACCGAACGCGGCCCCUUGGCCAGCAGGAUGCGGGCCCAGUCCUCGGGGCGGUCGCCCACACAGGAGCCACCGAGGAUGACCUUCGCCUCGUGCUCGUUGACGAUCAGCGGGUCGCAGGCCGCCAGCACCUCCUGCGGCAGCGGGCGCGGCGGCGACGGAUUCAGCACGAAGCGGCUGUCCGGCGCCAGACUCCGGACCACCUCCACGACCGUCUCCAGCGGCACCUCCAACUGCGUGGAGACCACGCGGGAGGCGUGGAAGAGACUGGCGGCGGCGCGGACGUCGCCCGGCACCAGGCGGCCGUUGGCGCCCGGCGAGACCACGAUGCUGUUGUCCCCGGACGGGUCGACGGUGAUCAGCGCGACGCCGGUGGGGGCCCCGCCCACCAGGACGCCGACCGUGUCGACGCCGGCCGCCCGCUGCGAGUCCAGCAGCAGCCGGCCGUAGUCGUCGUCGCCGACCCGGGCCAGCAGGGCGGUGCGGGCACCGAGCCGGGCGGCGGCCACCGCCUGGUUCGCGCCCUUGCCGCCCGGGUGGACGGCCAGGUCGGUGCCGAGCACCGUCUCGCCGGCCCCCGGCCGCCGCUCGACGCCGAUCACGAGGUCGGCGUUGGCCGAUCCCACGACCAGGAGGUCGUAGUCGUACAUGAAUCGUUCUCCGAUCCCGAUGAACCCGAUGAACCCGAUGAACCCGAUGAACCCGAUGAAUCCGAGUGGAUCCGUGAGUGCAGCCCGCGUGCGUGCCGUUCCGCCCGUGUCAGCCCUCGAAGCCGGCCACGUUCUCCUCGGUGACCACCUUCACCGGC
rnacentral:rRNA from 1 species